AGAACAGAAACCAUUCUUUGGAACUGCUUUAUAGAGCAGAUGCACUGAAAUUUGUUCUGAAAAUGUCAAAUGCCAGUGAAAAACAUUCUUGCAAGCCUUAAAUUAAGCAAUCAAAAUGAAGGCUUGUUUACUUUUUAUUUGUUUUUGCUUUUCUUUCAUGUGCCCCUUUACCCCGAGUGCGCUUAAAUAAUUCAACCAGCCAAGAUCUUGUGAUGUUUGCUUCUAGUCCCUGUAAUGCAUGCACCAGGAGAGAAAUUACAUCCAACAGUUACUUGGUAAGUCAACCCAAUUCUUUGGCUACAAAAAUACAAGUGUUUAAAUUUUGUAUCACAGUUUCAGCUGAUACCAAGUUCAAAAUGUAUGGUCAUGCAACAUGCAUCCUGUAGUCUGAUACAUUUUGGUAACUGUCAAAAAGGUUUUAAAACAAAUAAGGUGUAAUUUGUUUACGCUAGGACCAAUUGUCGUUGGAGAUGAUUCUGUCUUAAGUAAUGCUGUUUGCAAAAUGAUUGCCCCCUAUCAAUUAUUUUCUUAUUGAUUAACUGUGAUCAGAACCAAUGUAAGCACACUUGAAUAUAAAUUAAAGUUGAAAACUUAAAACAUAACAUGUUUAUCACACACGGUGUAAGUACACAACAAUGAGAUGUCCCUCAAACACUUGUUGGCUAGUUUAUUUUCUUUAAAAAAGUGUUUAUGAUUGAGUCACUGUGUUGUGCUUCAUAAAUCCAUAUUUUAUUGGUUAUGAGAUGAGAUUAGCCAUUUAGCUUUUUUUGAUCAACAUACAUUUUAUAGCCACAGGCUAAACCUGUUUUGUUGUCCCUCAAAUGAGCUUCGCUUCAAUAACUAUAGCUACUGAUAGAUGUACUCUUUAAAAUUGUUCAUUUUCAAACUUAUGUGUCACAACAGUGAACAAUUUGACCUGUUUUAUUUUUGUCUGUGUUUAUUUACAUGUGUCGCUGACUGAGUGAAUGGAAGCAGGGAUAGAGUGGUACCCAUCCAGCCACUGUACACAAGUCUACCUCGGACAGACAGAGACUCCGCUACAACAGAAUGUUUCAUUUCAAAGUGAUGACUGGACGUCUGUGUCCAGUAGCCUCUGAUUAGUCAGCUUGGAUCAUCAAUUUGACCAGGUUAGUUUAAUCCUGUCAAAUCAUUCAUUUUUUUAAGAUACCAUAGAAAGAACUGGGGCCGCAUUUCAUGGCUCUGCUUAUUUACUGCUGAAUUCUGCGAUUGCGAUCACUAUUCUUUGGUUGCAUCUCCUCCCCAAGCCCCCAAUAAUUCAAGGCCAAACCACAGUUUAAAUUGGCCCCUCAGACUAGGAAGAGCCCCUCAGAAAAGAUUAUGCCCCCCCCCCCUCUCUCUAUCAAUAAAAUUUCUUCUUACACUGUUAAUGAAAUUGCCUAGAUGGGCUUUUGACUAAAUUGAGACGUUAAGUUUCCUCGACUUUUUAUUUGAAUUAUUCCACAUUAUCCGCAACUGUGUUAAACAGGAGUUUUAUGUAGAAAAACACUACACAUGUAUGUUUUUCUCAAACUGUCUAGUGCCAGUGAAAGACAUGCACUUCUUAAUUCUCAUCUGGUCAAUACAUUUUUUACUUUUGCAAGCCUUAAUUGAGCUCAAAAUGCCAGCUCGAUUACUUAACAGUUGUUUUUGCUUUUCUGUCAUCUACCCCUUUACCCUGAGUGUUAAUUCAACCAGCCAAUAUCUCGUGAUGGUUGAUGCUUUGUGUCCCUGUAUUAUGCACCAGGAGUGGAAUUCCAUCAAACUACUUGAAAAUUCCACAGGUUCCACGCUCUGAGUCAGAGGUGACGAUGGUGUAAGAAGACUGACGUCUACUCAUUAACAAGCUACAGACUGGAACCUUGAGGUUUUUAGGACUAAAGAUGGAGUGACAUCAUGGCAUGGGGAGUGACAUCACGACUCUAAGUUGGAACCUGGAAGACCUAGGAUGGGUGUUUUAUGAUUGUCAAGAGAUUAUUCUGAUGCAGUGUUCCUCCAACAACAUGGACAUUGAAAGCAUCAAUCAGGUGUGGCUUGGCUAGAGGAAAUAAUAUCUGAGGACUGUAUUACUUACCAAGCUGAAGUACGCAACUUAAGGUUAUCAUCUGGACUUGCUACGAUGUAUGCUCUGCUGUCAAUAUGGACCAUUGAGAUGCUAAUGAUGGAUUCUUGUCUGAGGUCAGGAGUGUGACAUCUUUGUACUUUCAUCUACUCACCGCUAAGGUGAACAUAGAAACAAGUGACUGAUAAAGGAUGUGUGUAUCUUUAAAGAUGUUCACCGAAAAGAUUCAAAUCGUCUGAUGAGCAAGGUUGGGUCGACCAAAGAUUCCAUGCCGUUUUACCUGGACCAGUUAAGGACCAGUUCCUCACAAAGUAGCGUCAAGAUUAUGAUCUAACACGGGAAGCCUUGUACGUCAGUCAUCAAACCAAAUAUGGUUUUGUCUGAUCACACUUGGGUUUACAUUUGAGAAAUGCAUCCAAGAGAUUCGACGUUGGACACAACAAAACUUCCUGAAGUUAAAUGAUGACA